rnacentral:rRNA from 1 species
UAAGGAAUAUUGGACAAUGGAGGCAACUCUGAUCCAGCCAUGCCGCGUGCAGGAAGAAGGCGCUACGCGUUGUAAACUGCUUUUAUAACAGAGAAAACCUAUGUACGUGUACGUAGUUGAUAGUAUGUUAAGAAUAAGCAUCGGCUAACUUCGUGCCAGCAGCCGCGGUAAUACGAAGGAUGCAAGCGUUAUCCGGAUUUAUUGGGUUUAAAGGGAGCGUAGGCGGUCUUAUAAGUCAGUGGUGAAAUCUCGUUGCUUAACAACGAACGUGCCAUUGAUACUGUAGGACUUGAGUACAGUUGCCGUUGGCGGAAUGUGUCAUGUAGCGGUGAAAUGCAUAGAUAUGACACAGAACACCGAUUGCGAAGGCAGCUGACGAAACUGUAACUGACGCUGAGGCUCGAAAGCGUGGGGAUCAAACAGG